GACGAACGCUGGCGGCGUGCUUAACACAUGCAAGUCGAACGAAGUGGCGAACGGGUGAGUAACGCGUAAUCAACCUGCCCUUCAGAGGGGGACAACAGUUGGAAACGACUGCUAAUACCGCAUACUGAAGUAGUGGCUUGCGUCGGAUUAGCUAGUUGGAGGGGUAACUGCCCCCCAAGGCGAUGAUCAGUAGCCGGUCUGAGAGGAGGAACGGCCACAUUGGGACUGAGACACGGCACAGACGCCGACGGGAGGAAGCAGUGGGGAAUCGUCCGCAAUGGACGAAAGUCUGACGGAGCAACGCCGCGUGAGUGAGGACGGCCUUCGGGUUGGAAAGCUCUGUUAAGCGGGACGCGGUACCGGAAGAGAAAGCCACGGCUAACUACGUGCCAGCAGCCGCGGUAAUAC
rnacentral:rRNA from 1 species